GUUGUGUUUUUGUUAUAUUCCCAACAUUAUUGAGGACAUUAUUAUUAGGAUGCUGCAGUAAUGUUGAGAUGCCUGUAGGAGGAGCUCUAGUCUAGAACACUGGAACCUUCAGUACCACUUUGAUACAGCUGAUGAGGAGUGUAAAUUGAAUGGGUUUGUAGAAUAGAAUGAAUGACAUCAUGGAACUGACCAAAUGUAAAUGGAACUUUGACCUGUUCCAUGUAGAACUCAGAGGGACAAGGCAACACAUUCUAAGAUAUUAUAAACAUUCCAAAUAGAAUAGUCAACAUAUUGUUAACAUGGUUCUGUAUUUAUAUAGAAGUGGAUAUUUGGGACAUUUUGUCCAUUAUAGAAAUGUAGGGCCCACUCUAAUACAAUAACCUCCCUUUUCUGACAUGUUGUUCUGAUCGUCAUGCACGUUAAUGACUUAAAGAGGAAGGAAUGGACAGUUCUGUAUCAUCUACUUUUGUUCUGACUACUUUCGUUUCAUGUUAAUUAAUUCUGUGUUCCCGGUCCAAAAUGACCGUUUUUUUAAAAACACCCAAAAUGUAAUGAAGAUCAUCAAAAAAAUGUUUGUGUGUUCAGAUGCCCUGUGUGGACAAAGUCAUGGAACCUUAUGACAAUCAGAUUAAAUGAACGACAUUUUUCAGAGAGAAAAUCGGUUCAAUUCCACCGGAACACAGCAGGAGGGUUAAAUAUGCAUCAAAGGGAAAGGAAAUGGGGAUACCUAGUCAGUUGUACAACUGAAUGCUUCAACUGAAAUGUGUCUUCUGCAUUUAACCCAACCCCUACGCAACUACAGAACUGACACUUACUAGCAGUUCCCACUCACUACCAGUCAGUUGACUCACUGUACAAGACCUCUCCCCUUCAGUCUACUGCAGGGUGGGAGAUGCAACAAUGGCCUUGAGAACAGCAGGAAGUGUGUUGGUGGUCUUUCUCUGGUCUGUAGCAGGAGUCUCCACUUCACUUUAAAUAGUUAUCUUUCACACCUCACUGAGGGAUGCUUAUCAACUCAGCAACUACAACAAAGUGUGGACAAACACAACAGAACCUGGACAGAAGAGAACCACAACAGAACCUGGAAUGAAGAGAACCACCACAGAACCUGGACUGAAGAGAACCACCACAGAACCUGGACUGAAGAGAAACAAAACAGAACCUGGACUGAAGAGAACCACCACAGAACCUGGACUGAAGAGAACCACCACAGAACCUGGACUGAAGAGAAACAGCAUCAAACCAAAGCUAGGCCUCACAAUGCUCUUCUCUUACUAUGAUAUUGCUUUCUAAUCUAGAAGGUUUAAAACAAUGAGCUUUAGCUUUUGAGUAAAUGCUGGAAUUUAGAUUGUUCUCCUAAUGAUAAAUACAGUAUGUGCACUACCGUUCAAAAGUUUGGGGACACUUAAAACUUCCU